rnacentral:rRNA from 1 species
GGAGUACGGUCGCAAGAUUAAAACUCAAAUGAAUUGACGGGGGCCCGCACAAGCGGUGGAGCAUGUGGUUUAAUUCGAUGCAACGCGAAGAACCUUACCUACUCUUGACAUCCAGAGAACUUUCCAGGGAUGGAUUGGUGCCUUCGGGAACUCUGAGACAGGUGCUGCAUGGCUGUCGUCAGCUCGUGUUGUGAAAUGUUGGGUUAAGUCCCGCAACGAGCGCAACCCUUAUCCUUGUUUGCCAGCGAGUAAUG